UAUUAAUUGGAGGUUGGUGUUAGUACCAACAGAGACUGCACUUCUCAGCUGGAGUUCUUUGACACAGCUCCUGGAACAACUGCUGCUGACUCUUUUCUUCCUGGAAGCUUGAUCCAGGAGAAGUCUUUCACCGUGAGCGAGUGUUCUGAACUUCAAUAUCUGGCGCCCAAUGCUGCCACCACUGCGA